rnacentral:rRNA from 1 species
AGUGAACGCUGGCGGUAGGCCUAACACAUGCCAGUCGAACGGCAGCACAGUAAGAGCUUGCUCUUACGGGUGGCGAGUGGCGGACGGGUGAGGAAUACAUCGGAAUCUACUUUUUCGUGGGGGAUAACGUAGGGAAACUUACGCUAAUACCGCAUACGACCUACGGGUGAAAGCAGGGGAUCUUCGGACCUUGCGCGAUUGAAUGAGCCGAUGUCGGAUUAGCUGGUUGGCGGGGUAAAGGCCCACCAAGGCGACGAUCCGUAGCUGGUCUGAGAGGAUGAUCGGCCGCACUGGAAGUGAGACACGGUCCAGACUCCUACGGGAGGCAGCAGUGGGGAAUAUUGGACAAUGGGCGCAAGCCUGAUCCAGCCAUACCGCGUGGGUGAAGAAGGCCUUCGGGUUGUAAAGCCCUUUUGUUGGGAAAGAAAAGCAGCAGGUUGAUACCCCGCUGUUCUGACGGUACCCAAAGAAUAAGCACCGGCUAACUUCGUG